rnacentral:tRNA from 1 species
CGCGGGAUGGAGCAGUCUGGUAGCUCGUCGGGCUCAUAACCCGAAGGUCGUCG